rnacentral:lncRNA from 1 species
AUAUAGACCUUUACAAUAGAUAGUAAGGUCUGCGUGUAUGUGUAUAUGUGCAGCAGAGAAAUCCACCAGUUAUAUGUUUUGCCUGUGAGCUAAGAAAACUAAAUAAGCACCAAUGUCUCAUUUAGAUGUCAGCACAGUAGGUGGAACCUGCAUUUGAAUGUGACUCAUAAUUGCCUAGAAUUUGGAUCUGGCUUGCAUUCAGUGCUCCUAAAAUC